rnacentral:rRNA from 1 species
CAUGCAAGUCGGACGGGAACGUUCCCUUCGGGGGACUAGUACAGUGGCGGACGGGUGAGUAACGCGUGAUCAAUCUACCCUCAGGAGGGGGAUAGCGCACGCGAAAGAGUGGGUAAUACCCCAUAAGACCACAGUCUCUCAUGAGACAGAGGUAAAACAGUUGGGAUCUUCGGACCUUCUGCCUGAGGAUGAGAUCGCGUCCUAUUAGCUUGUUGGUAGGGUAAUGGCCUACCAAGGCUUUGAUGGGUAGCCGGCCUGAGAGGGUGGACGGCCACACUGGAACUGAGACAGCGGUCCAGACUCCUACGGGAGGCAGCAGUGCUGAAUUAUUCGCCAAUGCGCGAAAGCGUGACGGUGCGACGCCGCGUGCGGGACGAAGGCUUUCGAGUCGUGCACCGCUGUCAGGGUCUAGGAAACCGCAGUCGUUACUAGCGGCUGUGCUGACCAGGCCCAAAGGAAGCACAGGCUAGUCUCGUGCCAGCAGCCGCGGUAAUACGAGAUGUGCAAGCGUUGUUCGGAAUCACUGGGCAUACAGGGUGCGCAGGCGGCUUAGUAAGUCAGGGGUGAAAUCCCUCGGCUCAACCGGGGAAUUGC